rnacentral:tRNA from 1 species
GAAGUUUAAGUUAAUAACAAAAACUUAGGGCCUUCAAAGCCCUAAAUAGGGACCAACCCCUAACUUCUG